CUUGGCGGCUGGAGCGGGGUGGAUCCACCCGUUCCCAUCCCGAACACGGAAGUGAAACGCCCCAGCGCAGACGAUACUUGGGAGGAACCUCCCCGGGAAAAUAUGCCGCUGCCAGGA
rnacentral:rRNA from 1 species